rnacentral:rRNA from 1 species
UGGGGAAUAUUGCACAAUGGAGGGAACUCUGAUGCAGCGACGCCGCGUGAACGAAGAAGGCUUUCGAGUCGUAAAGUUCUUUUAUAUGGGAAGAUAAUGACGGUACCAUAAGAAAAAGCCCCGGCUAACUACGUGCCAGCAGCCGCGGUAAUACGUAGGGGGCUAGCGUUGUCCGGAAUCACUGGGCGUAAAGGGUUCGCAGGCGGAAAUGCAAGUCAGGUGUAAAAGGCAGUAGCUUAACUACUGUAAGCAUUUGAAACUGCAUAUCUUGAGAAGAGUAGAGGUAAGUGGAAUUUUUAGUGUAGCGGUGAAAUGCGUAGAUAUUAAAAAGAAUACCGGUGGCGAAGGCGACUUACUGUGCUCAUUCUGACGCUGAGGAACGAAAGCGUAGGUAGCAAACAGG